UUGCCUUCCGUCGGACGUUACGCAAAAAAAUCCCGGUCGGCGUUUGAUGUCGGUUUCUGUGUUUCGCAAACGUGCUACUGACUUUCAGUGGCGCUGAUUAAACAGGACGCGAGAUGCUGGAAAGCUGACAGCCAGCUCAAAGGAUUCACUCGCUCAUUUUAUGGCUUCGCUUCUGCAAAUAACCCAGCGACCUCAAAGACCCAACCUUGGGACUGACUUCCGCCUGGUGAAUACAAAAAUGGACCAGAGGAGAAAAAAAUCUUCUAAGACCAACAUGGGGCAUCACCCACACAGGCUACGGGAAGCACAGACUGGCUCUGCGGAAGCUGAGGUCGGAAGAUCUACUGUCCAGGGCGACCCACACCGCUCCAGAUGUCUCCGAGGGAUUGCAUCCAGGCAAAAAGGAAUACACAAGCUACAAAGUUGCUGGUUUUAAAUUCAGCUCACAUCAGAUUUCCAGCCAGUUUAAUUGCUUACAUACAGUUUAUAUCUGCAAUGCACGCUAGACCUCAGAAGUUAGAACACACUCCGGCUACACAGGACCUCCUGUCCUGUAACGGUCCCCGAUGAAGAAGACCACAUACUGUAGAUAAGGUUAGUCCAAGUCUUCCUCUCCUUUUCCAUUCCCACAGCCCACGUCGAAAACCAAAGCCCGUCCACCCAACAUGGCCCAGAUGUGCGUUCCAGUAACGCAGAAGGGUCCAUAGACACACCUAGAUGAAUCUUAAACACAGCUAGUUCCACUCUGCAGACCCAGCACGGGGUGUAUUUGACGUAGGCAACAAAAGCGCAGAAGACGGAUACUGUGAGAACACUGCGGCGACCCAGCAAGACCACUGACACCAGCACCAGAUGUUUCAUCUCACCGCUGAGAGGCAACUUAACUUAAUGAUGCACAUUCUGAAUGGCUCCUGAGAAACACCGACCAAAAUGAAAAGACAUGGAGGAGAGACCCAAGUCUGCCAGCUUAACCAUCUUGCUAAAGAUACAAUCACAUAGGGAUGGGCACAGGGGGUGGCACACAGCUCAGUUUACACACGCAGUCACCAUGCCAUUGAUCUCCUUUUUGUGAACUACAGGUUGUUAGUGAAAACCAAAGGAAAGACAUAAUUCUCAAGCAGCUUGUUUUUUUCCUCGUCCAUCCAGCUGCAAACCCCCAAUCCUGGACAAGGGUUUGGGGGGAGGGGCUUAGAGAAGCAUUCCCCAAUUACAGUCCUGGGGGGCCAGUCUGCAAUGCAGUUUGCAGAUUUCCCUACUCAAAUGCACUUACUAAACCUGGGAAUUGGCUAGUGAGCUGAAUAAUAUAUGUGUGUGUGUGUGUGCGUGUGUAAAUUCAUUAAUUUUUUUUUCUCCAUGGCCUAACAUCAAGACAUAUUUCCCUGUGCAGAUCCUAUACCAGUAGAUCCUACAUCAUCUUGGCCGGUCACUGGCUGUUCAUGAACAUCACUGUACCAGUGUCGGUCGAAGCCGCGGGGAAGCACCCCUGUCAAACUUCACUGCACGAUUUCACUCUGUCUAGGUGGU